GACGAACGCUGGCGGCGUGCUUAACACAUGCAAGUCGAACGGAAAGGCCCUGCUUUUGUGGGGUGCUCGAGUGGCGAACGGGUGAGUAACACGUGAGUAACCUGCCCUUGACUUUGGGAUAACUUCAGGAAACUGGGGCUAAUACCGGAUAGGAGCUCCUGCUGCAUGGUGGGGGUUGGAAAGUUUCGGCGGUUGGGGAUGGACUCGCGGCUUAUCAGCUUGUUGGUGGGGUAGUGGCUUACCAAGGCUUUGACGGGUAGCCGGCCUGAGAGGGUGACCGGCCACAUUGGGACUGAGAUACGGCCCAGACUCCUACGGGAGGCAGCAGUGGGGAAUAUUGCACAAUGGGCGGAAGCCUGAUGCAGCAACGCCGCGCGCGGGAUGACGGCCUUCGGGUUGUAAACCGCUUUCGCCUGUGACGAAGCGUGAGUGACGGUAAUGGGUAAAGAGGCACCGGCUAACUACGUG
rnacentral:rRNA from 1 species